GGUCACGGUCUUGUCCACGGCAAUGAUCGGUCCGAGGAUGGCCUCCACGACGGAGAAUGGAAUGGCGUUUGGUAUUGGCGAUAGAGCACCUGGCACAGGCUGGAAAGGGAGACCAGCG
rnacentral:SRP_RNA from 13 species